UACGUAGGGUGCGAGCGUUGUCCGGAAUUACUGGGCGUAAAGAGCUCGUAGGUGGUUUGUCGCGUUGUUCGUGAAAACUCACAGCUUAACUGUGGGCGUGCGGGCGAUACGGGCAGACUGGAGUACUGCAGGGGAGACUGGAAUUCCCGGUGUAGCGGUGGAAUGCGCAGAUAUCAGGAGGAACACCGGUGGCGAAGGCGGGUCUCUGGGCAGUAACUGACGCUGAGGAGCGAAAGCGUGGGGAGCGAACAGG
rnacentral:rRNA from 1 species